UCUGGUUUGCUCAACUCCUUCACUACCAACCUUCUCCUUCAUAUAUCUCACCGUUUCUCAAGUCUCUCUCUAUCUCUCUGUUUCUACUUCUCUCUCUGAAAUCAAACAGAGAGAAGAUCUCUCAUGGAUGAAAAAGUGAGACAUGAGUUUCUUCGAGGCAAUAUCAAAAACAUAACCAUCAUGAUGUAUAGAGACUGUCGGGUCCAUUGUGAGGAGACAUUCAGUUUCUCUUUAAAACUCCUUCAUUGAAAUAGUCCGGUGUUAUCCCUACCUGAGCUUAGUUUUUUUUUUUUAAUUUUUUUUCUGUCCUAUUGAAUUAUUCUAUUUUCUUGACCUUGUAAGACCCAUCCCUUUCAAAGUAUCUCAACCUUCUAUCGUUUUAAAGACUCUCUCCUAUCUCUUUUUGGUGUUGAGUAUGUGUGUAUCUCUACUCCUAGUUCAUUUGAAUCAGUUUUUCUACCUUGUCUAUCCCUCCUGAGCUAAUGUUUGCAUCUUCUUGUUGGUCAUUGAUGUAUGGUUGAUAUAAAUUCCAAAUAAAGAACUUAACCUUAUCUUAUUUAACUUUUGUUUGUGUUAGUUACAUUGUUGUAUAAUAAAACUACAGGAGGUGAAAAAUGUCUCGCUAUCAUGGGAACUGGUAAAAGGCAAUGAAUAAGGAAACUGGCAAAAAGAAUUAUGCCUUUACUCUCUAUUUUUAAGGCUUUGGACAGGAAUUUACUUUUGUUUUAUAUGUUGUGUUUGUUUGGGUCUGACUGACCCCCCAAAGGCCAAAGCCAAACCAAAGAACUCAUCUUAUUAAAUA